rnacentral:lncRNA from 1 species
AGACUUCGACUCAAUCAUCGAAUGACCGUAGAACUACAAUCCGGAACUAAUCCACACAAAAUGGUGUAGCCUAACUCGAAGCCAUAGAGUACGAAUUAGGGGACCUCAGAGAGAUCUCUUCAUAAGUCCUCGAAUAAUAGGGAAGAACAAAGGUGUGCAAGGCACUCAGCAACUCAGCUGCGAAACCAUAGAGGCUAACAGUUCAUAUUGAUCAAAGUUGAGUUUUUA